rnacentral:rRNA from 1 species
CGCGUAAUGCGGUGACGGCGUGCCUUUUGCAUAAUGAGCCUGCGAGUUGUGGUCAUUGGCGAGGCUAAGAGCCGAAGGUUCGGAGCCGGAGCGAAAGCGAGUCCGAAGAGGGCGUAUAGUCGAUGGCUGCAGACGCGAAACCGGGUGAUCUACGCAUGGGCAGGCUGAAGGCUGGGUAACACCAGCUGGAGGGCCGAACCGGUAAGCGUUGAAAAGCUUUCGGAUGACCUGUGCGUAGGAGUGAAAGGCCAAUCAAACCCGGAGAUAGCUCGUACUCCCCGAAAUGCAUUUAGGUGCAGCCUCGGUAAAGACCGACGGAGGUAGAGCGACCGAUAGGGUGCGAGGGCUUCGCCGCCUAUCAAGCCCUGACGAACUCCGAAUGCCGUCGGUUGCUUACCGGGAGUGAGGGCGCGGGUGCUAAGGUCCGCGUCCGAAAGAGGAACAACUCAGACCACCGUCUAAGGCCCCGAAAUCCGGGCCGAGUUGAAGCCAAUAACGAGGUGGGACCGCAUAGACAGUUAGGAUGUUGGCUUGGAAGCAGCCAUUCAUUCAAAGAGUGCGUAACAGCUCACUAAUCGAGCGGUCCCGCGUGGAUAAUAAUCGGGCAUAAGUCCGGUGCCGAAGACGUGGAAUCAACCUUGAAGGUUGAUUGGUAGGGGAGCAUUCUGCCGCCGGUGAAGGAGGGCCGCGAGACCCUCUGGAGGUUGCAGAAAAGCAAAUGCAGGCAUAAGUAACGACAAAGGGGGCGGGAAACCCCCUCGCCGGAAGGCCAAGGGUUCCUGAUCAACGCUAAUCGGAUCAGGGUAAGCCGGGACCUAAGCAAAAGCCGCGAGGCGUAUGCGAUGGACAAACGGUAAAAAUUCCGUUGCCUCCGGUUUGAGAGCCCCGUUGAUGACGGAGGAGCGAAAGACGCGCGUGCUGACGGAACAGCACGUUAAAGGGAAGUAGCCUUAUGGUGAAGCCCGACAGUACACAGAGGCUUCGGCCGAAGUGAUAGCCGUACCGUAGCAGACUCCCGAGAAAAGUCAACGAGAGGCGCUUGAUCAAACCGGGGCCCGUACCGAAAACCGACACAGGUGGCCGGGUAGAAAAUACUGAGGCGCUCGAGAGAUUCACGGUCAAGGAACUAGGCAAAUUGGCCCCGUAACUUCGGGAGAAGGGGCCCUCGUUUAAAAAGCGAGGCGCAGAGAAUAAGUCCAGGCAACUGUUUAGCAAAAACACAGGGCUGUGCCAAGCCGCAAGGCGCUGCAUACAGCCUGACACCUGCCCGGUGCCGGAAGGUUAAGCGGAGCUGUCAUCGCAAGAGAAGCAGUGAAGUGAAGCCCCGGUAAACGGCGGCCGUAACUAUAACGGUCCUAAGGUAGCGAAAUUCCUUGUCGGGUAAGUUCCGACCUGCACGAAUGGUGUAAUGAUCCGGACACUGUCUCGACCGUGAGCUCGGUGAAAUUGUAGUAUCGGUGAAGAUGCCGAUUACCCGCAACGGGACGAAAAGACCCCGUGAACCUUUACUGCAGCUUAGCAUUGGGGCCGGGUGUGCGAUGUGUAGGAUAGUCCGGAGACAGCGAAGCCGGGACGCCAGUCUCGGUGGAGUCGACGUUGAAAUACGGGCCUUCGCACAUUUGGCUUCUAACUUGCGGAUGCAAGGACAUUGCUUGGCGGGUAGUUUGACUGGGGUGGUCGCCUCCAAAAGCGUAACGGAGGCUCCUAAAGGUUCCCUCAGGCCGAUUGGCAACCGGCCGCAGAGCGCAAUGGCAUAAGGGAGCUUGACUGUGAGACCAACAAGUCGGACAGGAAGGAAACUUGAGCAUAGUGAUCCGGCGGUUCCGUAUGGAAGGGCCGUCGCUCAAAGGAUAAAAGGUACUCCGGG